GUUUAAUUCUGAAUUGCUGCCUUCCAGUUACCUGGUUGCAAGUGAACUUUGAAGAGGAGCAGAAAGACAGGUCCUACGCGUGAGCUCACAUGAAACCAGUGUCCUUGGAAAGCAAAGAAAGAUGCAGUUUUCCAACACUGACACUCCUCCAGAGUGUAUGACGGUGCCUCUCCCAAAUUUCUGCUACAGAUGGUUCCCUGGAUGUCUCUUUGUGCUGUGCCUACUGAGCCUCAACAAGUGCAGCUGUAUGAAUCUUCCUUUGUGCCAUAUUGUGUUAAGGAUCUGGGAGACAUGCCAAGGUCAGAAAAAUAAUUGGCUAAAAAACAGUAGUCUUGGAAAUAUGAAAUGUUUACUCUU
rnacentral:lncRNA from 1 species